rnacentral:rRNA from 1 species
GAGUGAAGCGGUAAAAGCUCAAAUUUGAAAUCUGGCUCUUUCAGAGUCCGAGUUGUAAUUUGUAGGCAUAAAGAUGCUUCGGGUGUGGUUCCGGUCUAAGUUCCUUGGAACAGGACGUCAUAGAGGGUGAGAAUCCCGUAUGUGACUGGAUACCUAUGCUCAUGUGAAGCUCUUUCGACGAGUCGAGUUGUUUGGGAAUGCAGCUCAAAAUGGGUGGUAUAUUUCAUCUAAAGCUAAAUAUUGGCCAGAGACCGAUAGCGCACAAGUAGAGUGAUCGAAAGAUGAAAAGCACUUUGGAAAGAGAGUUAAACAGUACGUGAAAUUGUUGAAAGGGAAGCGCUUGCAAUCAGACUUGCACUUGGUGUUCAUCAGGGUUUCGUGCCCUGUGUACUUCAUCAAGUUCAGGCCAGCAUCAGUUUGAGUGGUUAGAUAAAGGCUUGGAGAAUGUGGCCCUCUUCGGGGGGUGUUAUAGCUCCAGGUGCAAUGUAGCCUACUUGGACUGAGGACCGCGCUUCGGCUAGGAUGCUGGCGUAAUGGUUGUAAGCGACCCGUCUUGAAACACGGACCAAGGAGUGUACCUAAUAUGCGAGUGUUUGGGUGUUAAACCCAUACGCGUAAUGAAAGUGAACGCUGGUGAGAACCCUUAAGGGUGCAUCAUCGACCGAUCUUGAUGUCUUCGGAUGGAUUUGAGUAAGAGCAUAUUGGGUGCGACCCGAAAGAUGAUGAUCUAUACGUGAAUAGGGUGAAGCCAGAGGAAACUCUGGUGGAGGCUCGCAGCGGUUCUGACGUGCAAAUCGAUCGUCAAAUUUGCGUAUAGGGGCGAAAGACUAAUCGAAUCAUUAAGGAAUAGACCAAGCUCUAGGUGAUUGAGAAACCCCUUUGGGGUAUUAGUCCUGGAGACAGGGCGACAUUGUCAAAUUGUUCGGGGACCACCUGUUAAAUUAUAUGCUACUGCAGCAGUGCUGAAAGGCCUGUGAGCACUGAGGGUAACGCCCUCAGGGAUGGUAAUAACGCAUAUAUAGGGUAUAUCCGCAGCGAAGUUCUAAGGCUUUCGAGCUAUGAAUCGCGUUCACAGACUAGACGGCAAUGGGCUCCUGGC